GGGCUGACUGCUCUUCCUGUCCAAGGGCUGCUCCUGCCAGAGACAAAGGGACUCCUCCCCACGACUGACCCUGCAGAGGGGGACUUAGCAAGAAGCCGAGCAUCGGCUGUGGAGGCAGCAGGUGAAGGCAGGGCAGGGACAGGACAGCGCUGCAAUCAUUUUUGGCUGCACCAGGCAACAUGUGGGACCUUACUUAGUUCUCUGACUAGGGAUCGAACCCCUGCCCCACUCCCUGCAGGAGAAACGUGGAGUCUUAACCACUGAACUGCCAGGGAAGUCCCUCCAAUUAUUCAACAUGCUCCCUCCUUGCUGUGCCUGACUUCCCCAUCGCCCACUUGGCUAACUUUAUUCCAGCCCCAAGCUGCCCUUCAAGUUCAUACCAUAAUACCAAUGACCGCAAUGAUAAUAAUAGGAUCACGGGAAAGAGUUGUAGGGGGUUGAAUAUUGCCCCUUCUACGGCCCCAAGAGAUAUAUGUCCGUGUCCUAACCCUGGGACUUGUGAAUGUGACCUUACUUGGUGAAAGAGUCUUUGCAGGAGUAAUUAAGGGCUCUGAGAUGAGAUCAUCCUGGAUUAUUUGGACAGGUCCUAACUCCACUGACAAGUGUCUUUAUAAGAGACAGAAGAGGAGGGAAUUCCCUGGUGGUCCAGUGGUUUGGACUCCCUUGCUUUUCGUUGCCGAAGGCUGGCUUGGGUUCGAUUCCUGGUUCAGGAACUAAGAUCCUGAAAGCCACCAUGCAGCCAAAAAAAGAAAAAAAAAAAAUGACAGAAGAGGUGAUGCACAGGAAAAAUACAAGUACACAGGGAGAAAGAAGAGGAGGCCCUGUGAAGACAGAGGCCGAGACUGGAGGGAUGCCAAGGAACAUCUAAACGCUGGAAAACGAGAGGAACAGCUCUUCUCUAGAGACUUCAGAGGAGCAGGGCCCUGCUGACACCCUGAUCUGGGUCUUCCGGCCAGUAGAACCGUGAAAGAAUAAAUUUCUGUUGCCAGCCCGUCUGCAGCCAUUUGUUACAGCAGCCAGAAAAAGAGCCAUGGGCUUUGGGGUUCAAACCCUGGCUCCCACUUACUAGCUUGUGCUGUUGGACAUCCCUUUCAUGCCUCAGUCUCCUCAUCUGGAACGUGGGGAUGAUGCUAAUACCUGCUUCAUAGAAUUUUCAUGUGAAAAUUGAGUUGGUACAUGAAAGAUUAUUUAAAAAGGGCAUGAUACUUUGUUAAGUAUCCAAAAAUGGUUAGCUUUUUUUUUUCCUACACUGCAGGGCUUGCAGGAUCUUAGUUCCCCGGUCAGGGAUUGAACCCUGGUCCCCUGAAGUGAAAGCAAGGAGUCCUAACCACUGCACCAUCAGGGAAGUCCCUAAAGGGUUUUAUUUUUGGCCGCACUGCCUGCGGAACUUUCCUAAAGAGGGAUUGACCCUAUGCCUCCUGCAUUAGAAGGGCAGAAUCUUAACCACUGGACUACCAGGUUUUGUAUCUGAGGCAAACGCGUGACUCAUCUCUUCCUGGUUUCUUGAUGUCACGUCCCCAGGGAGGUCUUCCCGGCCAUCUCAAAUAACAGCUCUGCUCCCCCAAAUUCACAUCCUCCUUAAUAUCUUAUCCGUGCCUGACAUUAAGGCAUACAU